ACUCAGCCUCGGGGGCACUUUCUGGUGUCAGAAUGAAAGUGCCGUCAUUGCUGAGAUC
rnacentral:pre_miRNA from 1 species